rnacentral:rRNA from 1 species
UCUUGGUCAUUUAGAGGAAGUAAAAGUCGUAACAAGGUCUCCGUCGGUGAACCAGCGGAGGGAUCAUUAUCGAGUUAUUCAACUCCCAAACCCUAUGUGAACUUACCACUUGUUGCUUCGGCGCGCGCUUCGGCGCCGCCGAGGACACUUAAACUCUUUGUUUUUAUAAGCAUUUCUGAGUGGCCGAAAGGCAAAAAUACAAAUGAAUCAAAACUUUCAACAACGGAUCUCUUGGUUCUGGCAUCGAUGAAGAACGCAGCGAAAUGCGAUAAGUAAUGUGAAUUGCAGAAUUCAGUGAAUCAUCGAAUCUUUGAACGCACAUUGCGCCCGCCAGCAUUCUGGCGGGCAUGCCUGUUCGAGCGUCAUUUCAACCCUCGAGCCCGACUCUUUUGAGGACGGCUCGGCGUUGGGGGACGGCAGACUCCCCCCGGCAUCUCGCCGGGGACGCCGCCCCCGAAAUCUAGUGGCGGCCCUCCGAGGCGACCUCUGCGUAGUAACUUGUUCUCGCACCGGAAAGCUCAGAGCGGCCACGCCGUAAAACCCCAACUUUUUUCAGGUUGACCUCGAAUCAGGUAGGACUACC